rnacentral:rRNA from 1 species
UACGGAGGGUGCAAGCGUUAUCCGGAUUCACUGGGCUUAAAGGGUGCGUAGGUGGGCUUGUAAGUCAGGGGUGAAAGACGGUAGCUCAACUAUCGCAGUGCCCUUGAUACUGAUGGGCUUGAAUGAACUAGAGGUAGGCGGAAUGUGACAAGUAGCGGUGAAAUGCAUAGAUAUGUCACAGAACACCAAUUGCGAAGGCAGCUUACUAUGGUUUUAUUGACACUGAGGCACGAAAGCGUGGGGAUCAAACAGG